UGCUGGGAUUACAAGCGUGAACUGCCACACCUGGCUCAUUCAUUCAUUUAUUCAUCUGGUAAGUAUUUAUUGAACAUUGUAUUCAUUAGCUUGGGCUGUCAUCACAAAGUACCACAGACUGGGUGGCUUAAAUGACAGAGAUUUAUUUUCUCACAGUCCUGGAAGCUGUAAGUCUGAGAUCAAGGUGCCAGCAGGACUGGUUCCUUCAAGGCCUCUCUUUUUGGCUUGUAGGAGCCGUCUUCUCUCUGUGUCCUCACAAGGUCGCCCUCCGUGUGUGUCUGUGUCCUCAUCUCCUCUAACUAUGGGGACACUAGUCCUACUGGAUUAGUUCCCACGCUGGUGACCUCAUUCUACUUUAAUUACCUCCAUAAAUGCCCUAUCUCCAAACAGUCACAUGAUGACAUCCUGGGGGAUGGACUUUGACAUGUGACUUUGGGGGGGAUGCAACCCAGCCCAUAAUAAACAGCAAAUACAUUGGAGCUUCUCGAAGAUACAAAGCCAUUGUUGUGCAUCUCAUACCCUCAAUGGGGAAGGAGCCAGUAAGUUACAGAGAUCAGUAACGCAGGUGGGGACGAAGGUACAGAGGAGAGCCAGGCAAAAGAGGCCUGUUGGAGUGCGGGUGCUUGGCAAUUUUAGAAGCUGAGGUCCAGGGGAUGCUGGACUUCAAAGACGAUGUCUGGGCCAAGUGCAGAGAAAGGUGACGGGUGAGCUGGAAGGAAGCCUGGGAAAAGGCACCUUGGGUGUAGGGUUUUGAGGCACAACUGUGUCCUGCCUGUGGCACAGGAGCACUGGGGCCGGCGUGGCCCGUGUGGCCUAGGUGGAGGUGGCAGGGGAGGCGGGAGAAGGGGUGCUCUCGAGAUCUUGGGAGGCAUUGACCACGGAGAGGCCUCAGGCUGUUACUUCUACUUUUGCCUUUUACCAGUUAAAAGCAUCCUCCCAUGCAAAGGCUUGAGAAGGAUACAGUGGACUCUGGGGACUCGGUGGGGAAGGGUGGGAAGGGGAUGAGGGAUAAAUGACUACAAAUUGGGUGCAGUGUAUACUGCUUGGGUGAUGGGUGUGCCAAAAUCUCACAAAUCACCACCAAAGAACUUAGGUAAUCAAAUACCACCUGUUCCCCAAAAGCCAAUGGAAAUAAGAAAUUUUAAAAACCAAAACAAAAAGCAUUCUCUCCUUAGCAUUGUGUCCGAACAGCGGCAGCUGCGAGGACCUCGCCGUUUGUCACCCUCGGAAGCCAUGCCUCUCAUCUGGGGCCUUGAUCCGGCAUCCCCGGCCAGUGCAGCCCCUUCAGCCAUGGGAUAGGUGGCGGGCAGAGGGGCCAGCCUGGCUGCCUGGCAUCCCCGUGGUUCUUGUAAUAAAUAACAAGGCUCACUGACAAAUUUGCUGUUUUCUUAUAUGACUGCCACGCACGCUACAAAGUGUGAGGCAAACCACAAGUCAUCAGUGUCACAGCAAAACAAAAACAGACACACAACAGAAGAAACCACGCUGGUGAGGUCAGCAGGGGACAGGGAGACCCUCCCUGCAGGAGCUGCUGCUAGAGGGAAAGGCAGCGUUGGAUCCGAUGCCGGCCCCAGCCUGGGAGACCUGCUUCCUCUGCGGCCUGUGUUCAGGAGCGAAGUGUUGAGACCAGAAUUGUUCGGAUGCAGGGCUGGUCCCUGUUGAUUUAUGACUCAGGCAAACAGUCCAUUCAUCCGUCCGCGGCUCCACUUCUAUCCCCAGCUUACUGGAGGCAGAAGAAUGUCCCCGGGAAGUGGUCUGAGCUGCUUCCUGUGGUCGCCCCAUUGCUCGGGGUGGGGGAUCCUAUUUUUAGAGGGCCACCAUUGCUAUGAAGGUCCAGCCAGCUCAUCGGCACCGUGUGGCAUGGUGGGACGCAGCACUGAAAUUCGAGGGGGAGCUGGGCAUUCAUAGGUGUUUCUUACAAAUGAGAAAGGCCCUGAUUCUAAGGCUCCAUUUCCUCCUCUGUAGGUGGAAGAUAGCGGAGACUAUGCAGGGAGGCUCAGCUGCACCUGACACACAACAGAGGUUCUCCAGGAACAGGAGAUGAAUGAGUACAAAAUCAAAGAGGUGAUUUCCCUCUUCCUCCAGGAGACAAACCCAGAAUUGCAAAGAUCCCUCGAUGAACUAAUGUAACCAUAUUAGGCAAACUGCACCCCCUUUUCUGUCUUUCGUUCUCCCCCAGGCACACUUGCCAGCUUCCUCUUUCUACGUCCUCCUGGGCAUAUCCAGCCUUCAUCAUGAAGUCGUGUCUAUUUUCCACUUGCACACUUUCCUGGAAGACUCUUGGACAGCGUAUCAAGAUCUCUCAUUUUCUGGCUUGAACUCACUGCAGACUCAUCUUGUGGCAAGGCUCACCACCCACCAUGCCGGGCCUUGUCAGUGCCCUGGGGCAGCGUGGAUGGGCCGCCCACGCUUUCAACUAACAGAUGGCAGCAAAGGCCAUCACCUCCUUCUGAAGGAAUCAGAAGUUGGAACCAGGCCAGUGUAGGGUGGGACCAGAACUGAUGCCUGGACACAUGACCACAGACUGUCCUUGCUGUUGGAGAGCUGGGGACUGCGCCAUAGGAGGCUGUGUGGUUAUCGCCUAUGAGCCCCCAAGACCUUCAUUUCCUCAUCUGCCUUUACUUUGUGUCUCCUCUGAACGUGAUCCUGUGUUCUGG